AAAGGUGGAGCUGCACCAGGAGACCUCCUAAGCCCAGAGGUGGAGCUGCAACCGAAGACCACUGAGCCCAGAGGUGGAGCUGCACCAGGAGACCCACUGAUCGAAAAGGUGGAGCUACACCUAGAGCGGUUGUAGUUUCAAGCACUGUCAAGAGAGGGAAAAAGGAGCAGAAGGUUGUUCUGGAGAUGUCCAAAUCAUUCUUGUUCUGAAAUGGAGAACCAGAAACAAAAUGGAUUUUUAGAAAACUUUUACAUUAAUGACACAUCUUUUAAAGGAGUUCAGAAAGUCACUGAAGAUCACAAGUGACAGUUUUUAAUUCAAGGUUUUAAUUUUCUUUCACUGAUUAUAACAGUGAACCACAUGCUACACCAAACAUUUUAAACAUACAUAAAUUUAUUGCAAAAAUCCCUAGCAUAGCUAAAAAAUAAAGUGAAGGUUCUGGAUGCAGAUGUGGUGCAGAGCAAUCUGGGCUGCACCAAUGUGUUUUAAUGGGCUCACCUAACUCUACCCCUAACCCUACCGGUGACAGUGACGUCACUAGCUCCAUUUGAGUGCAUUGUGUAUGACAUUGCAUCGCUGAGUGAUACAGUCUCAGCUUGCAUCAUAAAGGCUGCAUCCAGAUACUAUUGAAAUA
ensembl:processed_transcript